GAUGAACGCUGGCGGCGUGCUUAACACAUGCAAGUCGAGCGAAGCACUUAUCAUUGACUCUUCGGAGGAUUUGAUAUUUGACUGAGCGGCGGACGGGUGAGUAACGCGUGGGUAACCUACCCUGUACAGGGGGAUAACAGUCAGAAAUGACUGCUAAUACCGCAUAAGACCACAGCACCGCAUGGUGCAGGGGUAAAAGCUCCGGUGGUACAGGAUGGACCCGCGUCUGAUUAGCUGGUUGGUGAGGUAACGGCUCACCAAGGCGACGAUCAGUAGCCGGCUUGAGAGAGUGAACGGCCACAUUGGGACUGAGACACGGCCCAAACUCCUACGGGAGGCAGCAGUGGGGAAUAUUGCACAAUGGGGGAAACCCUGAUGCAGCGACGCCGCGUGAGUGAAGAAGUAUCUCGGUAUGUAAAGCUCUAUCAGCAGGGAAGAAAAUGACGGUACCUGACUAAGAAGC
rnacentral:rRNA from 1 species